UGAAAAAAUAUAUUCUUUUCUUCUAUUCUAAUAUUCUUCAAAUAGAGCUUCAUUUAUAAUUUCAGAAACAUCGCGAAGGGAAAUACUUUUGAAUAGUAAUAAUAUCGAUGUGUUUCCUCUUUAAUAAAUAAUUAAAUAUACUACUGAAGGAACUUGGAAGACUCUCUGAACGGUCUCGAACAGAAUAACUAAGCAAUUGAACGAGCGGUCCUCGCGACUCGUGCAGUGUUCACAGACGGAAAAACCCGACGGCUUAAGGAUUAAGUGCAUCAGAUUCUCACACUUGGACACGCAUAUUUUCGGCAGCUCGGCGGGUAGAAGCAACCCUGCUGGGACAUUCGUUCAAGCUCGUUGACACCCCCCUACCGAUUUGCAGAUAUAUGACAGGCCUCCGUUCUCCCCAUCUUCAUCCUCCCUUAUGCUUCUCUGGCUCUUGUGCAAACUGGCGAAAUAACUGCAUCACACGGAAGUCACCCUCUUCAGUAUUUCUCCGUCGGCACCAAUUGGCAGAGAGGGUGAGCUUACGGACCGAAGUCGCACAAUCGCAUAAACGUGCCCCGGAUUACAGCGAUCCGUAGGCUCCUUAAUCUCGGAUUACACGGGCACGCUUUGACGUACUAAUUCCAGGAUUAGAGGAGGCGUACAGCAAGUUGCUGUUCGAACAAAAACAGAGUUUUCAGGCACUUCGCAAUCCUUGACUUGUUGCAUCCUGUAACUUACACACCUCAGAAAUAACUUGCAAUAUUUUUUUAACACUGGAACUACCUACCGAUCUCUAAACACGAUUAAUGUACAUUGUUUUAUAACGAUGCCAAAACUGAAUUUAUUUAGACUUUCUAUGAUUUAUAUUGCAAUGCAUACUUCAAUAAAGAAGCGUACCUAGAAAUUUCUCCUAGAAAUAUUUCUAUAAUAUCAGGAAUUGUAAAAGUCAUUUUGACUGGUUUGCUAGUUCUAGCGUUAAAGUAAGAAAAAAAAUCUCUCGAAAGUCACCGGUUUAGCGCUAAUGGUCCAAACGCUUCCGUAACGUGCUGUAAAAUCCAUGUAACGGAACAGUCGUGCAAUUCUUCUGUAUUUAAACGAUAAAUCAUCCCUUUUCCAGGCCGUAGGGGCAAAGAAUCUUGCGCAGCUAUUACUCGACAGCAUCGGGAACAUUCUCCAAAGAACGUAUUCUCCUUUCGACACCCCGUGGACGUUUCUAUAACUCGUGACUAUUAAAAGGAACGCGAGAACUCGGAGAGCAGGAAGAACACCCGGCGGGAGGACACCAUUACUUUUAUUUCGCAUGAUUCAACGCCUCGCUUAUCGAGCAACAACUUGCGGACAAAGUCUUCGCGUGAAACGUGUGCGAACGAUUCGGUUUCCUUCUCUCGCACGAAGUUCUUUCGUCACAUCUCGCCGUUUUACUUACGCGGAAAUUUUUCGUACAGCUUUAAAUUACUUCAUAUAAUCAAACUUAUAUUAUCUUCGGGUCUUCUACGGGCUAUUAUUUGAUCUAUUAUUAGGGUCCAAUAUAGUCUAUUUUUUGUACUACUUUAUUAUAUAUUUGCUGUACUGCUGUUUUACUUUUCCAGGAAUAACGACGCAUUCUUGAAGUAGGCGUACAAAUCACCGAUGAAAGGCAUAUUAUUAUUAUAAAUUAUUAUUACACGCAUUUCCAGCAGAAAUGGUUUAUUGCAACUGCUAACAGAAGAAGUGCACUUUCAUCUAACUGUGUUGUACAAUCGAAGCACGAAGUUUUUACUUUGAUGCACGAAUAUCAGCAGUCUAGUAAUAACGCUCGCUGUCCAGCGACAUCCAUGGGGUGCCAGCAUGGUGCCCCGUAACUCUCCGGCGUUUACAAAAUAUUUAGCCCCUAAUACGGCUCGUCCAGCUACGCGGCGUCCCUGAUAUACGCUAUAGAGAAUCGGUCCAGGGGACAAUUCGUGGAUCGACGGUGAUCCAUAUAUCAGAAAGUCAACGCACUCCGGGUGUGCCAAGCGGCCUGGUGAGCGCGAGGAUGGUCCGUCGACGGCCACCUGAACUGCCGUUUCCACGACGGGGACGCGUAUUUACGGAUCUGGGCACCGAGAGACGGCCUAUUAGGGGCUAAACGAUUUUUAAACGGGGCUGGGAUCGAGUGCCCGAGACGCAACAAUGACGUGGGCAAACAUUCCGAUAUACAGGACCACCCGGAGCGGCUGCAGUCGCUUCUGCAGGCGCGUUGCAUUCGUCGAUGCAGAUCGAUCAGUGGAGCCUUGGGAUUUAUGUUCGGGAAGGAAUUGUUAAUUUUUUGACCUAUGGCGUAGUUUUUUAGUCAUUUUAAUAGUUUAAGGGUUGAAUGUGGAUAUUAAUUUGAAGCACUAAAUUGUGAAUAAACUUGAUCAGCUGAUUAAUUUCAUCGUCCAUUUUGUUUUAGUAUGGAAUUAACGAAUGCUUUAAGUAAUGUUUGCAAGUUGAUUACAGAAGCCUUAACACACUUUCACAACCGCAUGUUAGCGCAGUGAAACGUCGCCAGUGGCCGACAA